rnacentral:lncRNA from 14 species
CAUGAGCAGCCUGCAGUGCGCCCAGUUGUAACACAUUCAUUUGAAUCAGUGUUGCAGUGUCUCCUGGCUUUCCCAGCCUUGGGAUCGGUCUUUGCAGAAGAUAGGUUCUGCAGCAUCUGUUGCAAGGAACCAGAAUGCGGUCAGUCUUGUCUAUUAACGUAAGCUGAGAAAGGAAGCCCUGUCUCGUGAACCAACUCUUCUACAGGAUCUCUGGGUCACAGGAGAGCUUUUGGAGAUGGUUUGAGCCCACAUCACCAUGGGAUGGCCAAACCUUUUAUUUCAGAGACUGCUGCAGGGCAUGAGAGUUUUCUACCCUGAAGAUCCUGCAGACUCAUGGUACUGAUGCUCCUUUCUGUCUGGAAAUUUUCUCCACUGCCAAAGCCUCAAGGUCUUCCAAGCUCUUCCAGUUUCCCCUUCUUUACAAAAUGCCCAAGUCUCAGGCUGCUGCACAGUUGUUGGAAACAUUAAUACUAUCUGCAGUUUUUAUGCAGGGCUGAUUUCCAGUGGCACAGACCUGCUAACACAAAAGGUGCUUCCUCCCUGGAAGACUGAGCUGUGGCAGCACAGGUUGCUCCAGGUUAGACAGCAGGCUGGAGGCUGGGUAGUAAUUUAGGUCUAGGUGAGAGAGAAUAAUAUGGAUUUAAUACUAUAAACUAUAUAUAAUGCUACAUUUAAUAUCCUGUUUCUGUUCUCACAAGGAGAAACUGCAUUCUCCAUUAACUGCAAUUUUUACAGUUUUAAUAAAGAUAAUUCACCAUUUAAAAAAAUGGUAAAA